rnacentral:rRNA from 1 species
AGAAAGGGCGCACGGUGGAUGCCUUGGCACUAGGAGCCGAAGAAGGACGGGACUAACACCGAUAUGCUUUGGGGAGCUGUACGUAAGCGUUGAUCCAGAGAUUUCCGAAUGGGGGAACCCACUAUCUUUAGUCGGAUAGUAUCCUUACGUGAAUACAUAGCGUAAGGAAGGCAGACCCAGGGAACUGAAACAUCUAAGUACCUGGAGGAAGAGAAAGAAAAAUCGAUUUCCUGAGUAGCGGCGAGCGAAACGGAAAGAGCCCAAACCAAGAAGCUUGCUUCUUGGGGUUGUAGGACACUCUAUACGGAGUUACAAAAGAAAGUUAUAAAUGAAGCGGUCUGGAAAGGCCCGCCAAAGACGGUAACAGCCCGGUAGUUGAAAUGGCUUUCCCUCCAGAGUGGAUCCUGAGUACGGCGGAACACGUGAAAUUCCGUCGGAAUCCGGGAGGACCAUCUCCCAAGGCUAAAUACUCCCUAGUGACCGAUAGUGAACCAGUACCGUGAGGGAAAGGUGAAAAGCACCCCGGAAGGGGAGUGAAACAGUUCCUGAAACCGUGUGCCUACAAGUAGUUAGAGCCCGUUAAUGGGUGAUAGCGUGCCUUUUGUAGAAUGAACCGGCGAGUUACGAUUUGUUGCAAGGUUAAGCGGAAAAAGCGGAGCCGUAGCGAAAGCGAGUCUGAAUAGGGCGCAUAAGUAACAGGUCGUAGACCCGAAACCAGGUGAUCUACCCAUGUCCAGGAUGAAGGUAAGGUAAUACUUACUGGAGGUCCGAACCCACGCACGUUGAAAAGUGCGGGGAUGAGGUGUGGGUAGCGGAGAAAUUCCAAUCGAACUUGGAGAUAGCUGGUUCUCUCCGAAAUAGCUUUAGGGCUAGCCUCGAGGUAAAGAGUCAUGGAGGUAGAGCACUGUUUGGACUAGGGGCCCUUCUCGGGUUACCGAAUUCAGAUAAACUCCGAAUGCCAUGUACUUAUACUCGGGAGUCAGACUGCGAGUGAUAAGAUCCGUAGUCGAAAGGGAAACAGCCCAGACCACCAGUUAAGGUCCCCAAAUAUAUGUUAAGUGGAAAAGGAUGUGGGGUUGCUUAGACAACCAGGAUGUUGGCUUAGAAGCAGCCACCAUUGAAAGAGUGCGUAAUAGCUCACUGGUCGAGUGACCCCGCGCCGAAAAUGUACCGGGGCUAAACAUAUUACCGAAACUGUGGAUGAACCUCUUUAGAGGUUCGUGGUAGGAGAGCGUUCUAAGGGCGGUGAAGUCAGACCGGAAGGACUGGUGGAGCGCUUAGAAGUGAGAAUGCCGGUAUGAGUAGCGAAAGAAGGGUGAGAAUCCCUUCCACCGAAUAUCUAAGGUUUCCUGAGGAAGGCUCGUCCGCUCAGGGUUAGUCGGGACCUAAGCCGAGGCCGAUAGGCGUAGGCGAUGGACAACAGGUAGAGAUUCCUGUACCAGUGCUAAUUGUUUAACCGAUGGGGUGACACAGAAGGAUAGGGAAUCGCACGAAUGGAAAUGUGCGUCCAAGCAGUGAGUGUGA